rnacentral:lncRNA from 1 species
CGGAAGGUGGGGGAGGAGUGCGAGGGUCUCUGAGACAGGUUGGGAGCCAGCCCCACCUCCAUUUCCAAAGCGGGGGUCCAGGCACAGGAACAGCCAAACGCCCGAACCAGCGGGGUUACCUUUGCCACUUCAUCCAAUCCGAGCAUCGGCUGACAAGUUUAUUUAAUCCCUGAACCUGGAUCCAAGGCAUCUCCCUGUAGAAAACAUCAGACCGGGGCAGAGAUUGACAAAGCAACCCAAAGCAGCAGCUGCCAACGGCCGCUGUGCCCACCUCAUCAGCAGCUAAAGAGUAUAAUUUUAAAAAAAGUCACAGAAGAAUGUGGAGACACUUAGCAAAACGGACUCUCAUAAGGAGGCUGAUGGACUACAUCCAUGGGGUACUUUGUCCUCUGGCUUCCAAUUAGAUUCAGACAACAGGAAGCAUCAACAGCUAAUGGGAGACGAAGAGGAAAAAUUGGGGUACCUAUUCCCCUAGAUUACUCCCUGCUGAUUGCUGCAGAGGGGCUUCAUCCUUGCCCUGGUUUCUGGAAAACACUCUUUCAUUGCCCAUGCAGGCCUAGGAGUGAUGAUGCCUCACUGGAUGGCAAAGUCUCUUAUUGGUUUCCCUAAAUCUUACUCACAACUUGUAGAUACUCCCUCUAUUAAAUCCUUUUCAGUUACCCAGUUUGAGUGUGCAGUCUCUUUCCUGAUAGACUUUUACUGAUAUAGUGUCCUUCUUGACCUUAGUUACAAAGUCAUUUUCAAAUCAAGUUCAUGUCUAAAUCAUGUUUUCUCUGGCUUCCAUGUGUGUAAAACAGUUUCUAUAUUUUUUUUUUUUUUUUUUUUUUUUUUUGAGACGGAGUCUCGCUGUCGCCCAGGCUGGAGUGCAGUGGCGCAAUCUC